GCGCACCAGGCGAGAAUCCUCCGCAAUGCGGGAAACCGUGACGGGGUCACCCCGAGUGCCACCCGAUGAGGGUGGCUUUUCCCCGGUCUAAAAAGCCGGGGGCAAUAAGCGGGGGGCAAGUCUGGUGUCAGCCGCCGCGGUAAUACCAGCCCCGCGAGUGGUCGGGACGUUUAUUGGGCCUAAAGCGUCCGUAGCCGGCUCGGUAGGUCCCUCCUUAAAUCCACGGGCUCAACCCGUGGGCUGGGAGGGAUACUGCCGGGCUAGGGGGCGGGAGAGGCCGAGGGUACUCCCGGGGUAGGGGCGAAAUCCGUUAAUCCCGGGAGGACCACCAGUGGCGAAGGCGCUCGGCUGGAACGCGCCCGACGGUGAGGGACGAAAGCUGGGGGAGCAAAGGGGAUUAGAUACCCCCGUAGU
rnacentral:rRNA from 1 species